rnacentral:rRNA from 1 species
CUGGUGCCAGCAGCCGCGGUAAUUCCAGCUCCAAUUGCGUAUAUUAAAGUUGUUGCAGUUAAAAAGCUCGUAGUUGGAUCUGGGGUUCGGGUCGGCGGUUUGCCGCUUCGGCGGCUACUGCCGUGCUCGACUCUUACUAGCCGGUGCGUCUUGCGGUGCUCUUCAUCGAGUGCCGUAGGAGCCUGGCAUGUUUACUUUGAAAAAAUUAGAGUGCUCAAAGCAGGCGAUUCCGCCUGAAUAGUGUUGCAUGGAAUAAUGGAAUAGGACCUCGGUUCUAUUUUGUUGGUUUUCGGAACUUGAGGUAAUGAUUAAGAGGGACGGUCGGGGGCAUUCGUAUUUCGGUGUUAGAGGUGAAAUUCUUGGAUCGCUGAAAGACGGACAAAUGCGAAAGCAUCUGCCAAGAACGUCUCCAUUAAUCAAGAACGAAAGUCAGAGGUUCGAAGACGAUCAGACACCGUCCUAGUUCUGACCAUAAACGAUGCCAACUAGCGAUCCGCAGUGGUUGCUAUAAACGGACUCUGCGAGCAGCUUCCGGGAAACCAAAGUGUUUGGGUUCCGGGGGAAGUAUGGUUGCAAAGCUGAAACUUAAAGGAAUUGACGGAAGGGCACCACCAGGAGUGGAGCCUGCGGCUUAAUUUGACACAACACGGGGAAACUCACCCGGUCCGGACACUGUAAGGAUUGACAGAUCGAGAGCUCUUUCUUGAUUCGGUGGAUGGUGGUGCAUGGCCGUUCUUAGUUGGUGGAGUGAUUUGUCUGGUUAAUUCCGAUAACGAACGAGACUCUAGCCUGCUAACUAGUUGCGCCGUGUUCAUACGCGGCUGUAGACUUCUUAGAGGGACAGGUGGCGUUUAGCCACACGAAAUUGAGCAAUAACAGGUCUGUGAUGCCCUUAGAUGUCCGGGGCCGCACGCGCGCUACACUGAAGGAGUCAGCGUGUGCUAUCCGGGCUCGGAAGAGUUCGGUAACCCGUUGAAACUCCUUCGUGCUUGGGAUUGUGGCUUGUAAUUAUCGCGCAUGAACGAGGAAUUCCCAGUAAGUGCAAGUCAUCAGCUUGCGCUGACUACGUCCCUGCCCUUUGUACACACCGCCCGUCGCUACUACCGAUUGAAUGGUUUAGCAAGGUACUCGGAUUGGUCUCGAUCUUGUACGAAAGUGCGGGAUCUGUGGCCGAGAAGAAGGCCAAACUUGAUCAUUUAGAGGAAGUAAA